CCUACGGGAGGCAGCAGUGAGGAAUAUUGGUCAAUGGGCGCGAGCCUGAACCAGCCACGUAGCGUGAAGGAUGACUGCCCUACGGGUUGUAAACUUCUUUUAUAAAGGAAUAAAGUGAGGCACGUGUGCCUUUUUCUAUGUACUUUAUGAAUAAGGCUCGGCUAAUUCCGUGACAGCAGCCGCGGUAAUACGGAGGAUCCGAGCGUUAUCCGGAUUUAUUGGGUUUAAAGGGAGCGUAGGUGGGUUGUUAAGCCAGAUGUGAAAGAUUGCGGCUCAACCGUGAAAGUGCAUUUGCUACUGGCAGGAGGGAGGGAGGGAGAGGAAGGCGGAAGUGUUGGUGUAGAGGUGAAAUGCUUAGAUA
rnacentral:rRNA from 1 species